rnacentral:lncRNA from 1 species
CGGACCGGCACGAUGGCUCGCUCGGUGACCGUGAUCUUUCUGGUGCUUGUCUCUCUGGCCGUCGUGCUUGCCAUUCAGAGUGAGUGCCUCUUCCCCCUCUCUUGGCGUUAAGAUUUGAUUUCUCCUUAGUUUUCCUUCCCGACGGGAUUGUCCAGGGCUGCGUCUCUCGGGAAAGGAGUGGGCGUUCUGCCGCCCGGCGGCUCUUACUGCUCCGAUGCUACUGAGUGGAUGUGGCUGUUUGCGAGUAUGCGGACAGUCAGCUCUGGAGGUGGGGAAGGCUUCUCUUUUGCUCCUCUGUCUUCCGGAGCCCCUAGGCUCCCUGAGCGCAGCAGGAGGGUGGGGCUGCUCCGAAAGUGCGGGGUGGAGGGCUAAGGGCGUGUGGAAGCUAGGCUGCGACUCCGGGAAGUCAGACCACCGCUGCGCAGCUUCUUUUGCACUUGUAGAGCGCCUAAGUUCCAACCGAGCCGGAAGAGAAAUGGGUGUGGGUCCCAGACUCUGCGAUGUUUCCAAAGCUUUCUGUAUUAUUUAUGUUGCUUUUAGUAAUAACCAUAAAGGCCGCUGGGUAUGAUAGCUUAUUGCUCAGGACCUUGUGUGCCUCAUAAGUUUGAAAGUAUGUCUACGAUGUAAACGUUAAGGUUCCUCAUGUGUUAAGACAGGGAACUAGAGGAAGCAUCGAGAUUUAAAGU